rnacentral:pre_miRNA from 1 species
AAUUUACUCAGUAGCUUCCCUAAUAGUUCAGGCCUUCCUCACUUCUUACCUGAACUAUUUCUGUAGCUUCCUAGUUGGUCUC